rnacentral:sRNA from 1 species
CCCCAGCAUCCUGGGCGUGAACGCACCCAGCUUGAUUGUCACAUGGGGAAUAGAGACUUCGCGCCUGCCUGGCAUAGGCCCACCCAGUAAUGUUCAUUUAAAGCUGGCUUUACUAGUCCUUCUUCCACAAUGAGAGGUGACCCUUCACUUCACCGAGAAAGGAAGGAAGAAAGCAUAAUAUUUCAUCGCGUGAAGAGGCCAUGAUUUCUCUAUUCCACUGAGGAUCGCUUGAGCUGUUUCCAGUUUGGGGUGUGAUGAACAAUGCCACAGUGAGCAUUCUUGUCAGUGCUGGCGUAUCUCAUGGUAGGUUUGGAAAUAAAUUCUGAUGGGAAUUAAAACUGGUGUAACCUCUAUAAAGGGCCAUUUAGCAAGAGCUGUCAAAAUUUAAAAAACAUGUGCCCUUCUGGGAAUUACUUCUACAGAUCUGCCCAAACAUGCAAAAUGUCUCAUGCACCAGGUUCUUCUUUGCAGCAUUUAUUUGCAAAAGCUGAGGUGUAGCAACAACCUAAACAUCCAUCAAUAAAUAUUUAUCCAUCCAUAGACUAGAAUACCAGGCAGCACCAGAAGGAACAAGAAAGCUCGGUACCGGCAGGACCUCCAAGUUAAGUAAAAAAGCAAGAUGCUGAACAGUACAUAUAGUUCUCCACCAUGUAGAUUAAAAAGGGACGGAAUACAUUUGCUUGUAUUUGCAUAAAAUAUCUAUGAGUAUAGUCAAGAAAUAGAUAAUAUGAUCUAUGUAUGCGGAAUGCGGGGAAGGAAGAUGUUUCCGUGUAUAUUCCUUGGUAAUCAUUGAAUUUUAAGCCAUAUGAAUGCAUUGUCUACUCAAAAACUCAAUUUAUUGUGAAAAGACUAAAAACCACUGAACUGUACACAUUAAAAUUCUAUGGUAUGUGAUUUAGAUCUCAAUGAAAAAUGUAUAUUGAGGAUGGGCACGGUGGCUCACGCCUGUAAUCCCAGCAUUUUGGGAGUCCGAGGCAGGUGGAUCGCUUGAAGUCAGGAGUUUGAGACCAGCCUGGCCAACAUGGUAAAACCCCGUCUCUACUAAAAAUACAAAAAUUAGCUGGGCGUGGUGGCGGGCAUGCUUGUAAUCCCAGCUACUCAGGAGGCUGAGGCAGGAGAAUUGCUUGAGCCUGGGAGGAGGCAGAGGUUGCAGUGAGCCCAGAAUCACACUACUGCACUCCAGCCUGGGCAACAGAGCGAGACUCUGUCUCAAUAAACAAACAAAAAAAAAUUACAUUUAAAAAAACUUAGGCUAUGGGGCCCAGCGUGGAGGCUCACACAUGUAAUUCCAACAUUUUGGGAAGCUAAUGCAGGAGGAUCGCUUUAGCCCAGGAGUUCAGGACCAGCUUGAGCAACAGUGAGAUUCCAUCUGUAUAUUAAAAAAAAAAAAA